UGGAUCCAGACUUUGAUCAUGGCUCAGGAUGAACGCUAGCUACAGGCUUAACGCAUGCAAGUCGAGGGGAAACGACAUCGAAAGCUUGCUUUUGAUGGGCGUCGACCGGCGCACGGGUGAGUAACGCGUAUCCAACCUGCCCAUCACUUGGGAAUAACCUUGCGAAAGUAAGACUAAUACCCAAUGAUAUCCCACGAAGGCAUCCGAAUGGGAUUAAAGAUUUAUCGGUGAUGGAUGGGGAUGCGUCUGAUUAGCUCGUUGGCGGGGUAACGGCCCACCAAGGCAACGAUCAGUAGGGGUUCUGAGAGGAAGGUCCCCCACAUUGGAACUGAGACACGGUCCAAACUCCUACGGGAGGCAGCAGUGAGGAAUAUUGGUCAAUGGGCGAGAGCCUGAACCAGCCAAGUAGCGUGCAGGAUGACGGCCCUAUGGGUUGUAAACUGCUUUUAUAAGGGAAUAAAGUGAGUCUCGUGAGACUUUUUGCAUGUACCUUAUGAAUAAGGACCGGCUAAUUCCGUGCCAGCAGCCGCGGUAAUACGGAAGGUCCGGGCGUUAUCCGGAUUUAUUGGGUUUAAAGGGAGCGUAGGCCGGAGAUUAAGCGUGUUGUGAAAUGUAGAGGCUCAACCUCUGCACUGCAGCGCGAACUGGUCUUCUUGAGUACGCACAACGUGGGCGGAAUUCGUGGUGUAGCGGUGAAAUGCUUAGAUAUCACGAAGAACUCCGAUUGCGAAGGCAGCUCACGGGAGCGCAACUGACGCUGAAGCUCGAAAGUGCGGGUAUCGAACAGGAUUAGAUACCCUGGUAGUCCGCACGGUAAACGAUGGAUGCCCGCUGUUGGCCUGAAUAGGUCAGCGGCCAAGCGAAAGCAUUAAGCAUCCCACCUGGGGAGUACGCCGGCAACGGUGCAACUCAAAUGAAUUGACGGA
rnacentral:rRNA from 1 species